AUGUGGUUAAUUCGAUGAUACGCGAGGAACCUUACCUGGGCUCGAACGUAAGAUGACUGUAGGUGAAAGCUUACAUCUCUUCGGAGCAUUUUACGAGGUGCUGCAUGGUUGUCGUCAGCUCGUGCCGCGAGGUGUCGGGUUAAGUCCCAUAACGAGCGCAACCCUACCUUUAGUUGCCAUCAGGUAAUGCUGGGGACUCUAAAGGAACUGCCUACGCAAGUAGUGAGGAAGGCGGGGAUGACGUCAAAUCAGCACGGCCCUUACGUCCAGGGCUACACACGUGCUACAAUGGCCGAUACAGAGGGCAGCUACCUGGUGACAGGAUGCAAAUCUCCAAAGUCGGUCUCAGUUCGGAUCGGAGUCUGCAACCCGACUCCGUGAAGUUGGAUUCGCUAGUAAUCGCGCAUCAGCCAUGGCGCGGUGAAUACGUUCCCGGGCCUU
rnacentral:rRNA from 1 species